rnacentral:lncRNA from 1 species
UUCAGCAAUAAGCCCGCGCGUGGCGCCCGGCCCAGAAAGGUACAAUAACUGUAUAUUUUAACUUAAUGGUUUUUUGGGGGGCAUGCAAAUUUCUGUGAGCAGAUUGUGUUGAGGCCUGGGCUUGGAGCGGCCUCCCUGAGCCCCAGAAGCCCCCCGGAGCACCCCCGGCUCAGUGAAGGUUGCCCGUGUCAAAAUCGAGAUAUCAAACACCGAGGCUGAAAGACAAGUUGAAGAACCUGCCAGAAGCGCUCCGUGGCAGAGAUUAAAACAAUUUCAGAAGCAGGCACCCAGCGCUUCUCUUUGGAUGACUCCACCUCCUAAAGGGUUCAUCCACCUAUCAAUAGCGCCACCAGCUGGGGAACAGAUGAACAACACCGGAACUCUGGGAAUCCAGUUCAAAUCUGACUGUAUUGCCCGAGAGAAGAGUGUCAGGGAGGCAGGACUCAGAGGAAUGCAGCUGCACCAGGUAAAAGUGAUUGGCCUUUCCCUCCCCAGUCCUGUGAUGAGAGGUGCACAUCACCAUGCUGCAUUCAUGGGGUACUAGGCGUCAAACUCAGGGCCUCCUGUAUCCUAGGGCAAGCACUUGACCAACUGAGCCCCACCCCAGCCCUACGGAUUGGUUUUCAGAUAUGGAACCCACACUUGUACUCCUACAACAGAUCUCAUUUGCCGUUCUGAUAUACACUCCUUAUAGUUUGCUAAAUGGGUUCAAUUUGCUAGUGUCUCAUUCAAGGAUUUCUGUACCUGUAUUCAUUCAAUAUACUUACUAAUGUUUUCUUCUUGCUCUGUGUUGGGAAGAAUACUGACCUUGUUUAAUGAAUAUUUUUAGAGAUCUCUGAGCAGAAUCUGUGUUAAUUAUUCUUUAAACUUUGGGAGAAUUAUUAGGAAAGCCUGACUCUGAGCUUUUAUUUGUUAGAAGCCAUUUAAUUGCCCAUUUAACCUAUCAUUAUUAUCAUCGUCAUUUUUAUUGUGGGGAGUGGACUAGGUCCUGAGUGAAUGCGUAUUGUUGGACUAAUGCCUCAGACCCAUGAAAAUGGCAAAGCCUUCCCCUGUCGACGUGUGUGUGCAUGUCUGUGCAGGAAAUGUCAACUGCAGCUUCCCCCUCCCAGAUGUUUAUAGCUCAAGUCUUAUCCUUAGAUAAGUCUUAUCCACUGAGACUCGAUAGCCCUCCUCCUUUCGCUGUACCUAAUGAAUGUCCUGAGUUUCCAGAUUGUGUAGUAGAUGCCCUCCAUCAGAGCAAGUGCAGCCCUCCCAGUUCCAGGUUGCUUCUGUGUACCUGCUUUUUCUUCAUUCUCACCUUUCCCCAAGUCAUGAUUCCAGGACCAAGCCAUGCAGGAUGUUGCUUACUAGCAUCAUCAUCGUCGUCAAUGUCAACGUCAACAUCAAAAUCAAUGUCAUUGUCAGCAGCAGUGUCAUCGUCGUCGUCGUCAUCAUCAUCACCACCAUCAUCUAAGGAUGAGCAAACGUUUUGCCUCCCUGUAUGUCUACGCAACAUGUGCAAGCAAUGCUCAGAGGCCAGAAGAAGGCUCUAAAGUUGGAGUUCUAAGUGGAUGGUUCUAAGCAGCCAGAUGCUGGUGCUGGGAACUAAGAGCAGUACACACUCUCAACCCCUGACCCAUCUCUCUAGUCCCUUUUUAAUGAAGGAGUUCACAGCUCCAAUUUUCCCUCUGAGCAUGCUUUACCACUCAUAAAUGUUGGUGUGUUGUGUUUUGGGAACAUACUUUAUAUGUUUUCUAUACUUCACUCCAUUAAAUCUCAUUUUGUAGUUGAAUAUACUGUUUACCCUCAAGAAUGUUCCGUAUCAACUGGGAAGCAAUGGUCCGUCCACCAUUGCUGUCGCAGGUGGAGUGGAGUGUGAUAUACGGGUGUCUGCUGAGUUGUCUGUCUUUGCUGAUGCCUUCAGGCCUUGGCUUUCUUCCUCUUUCUCAUUGUUCUUUCCGUUAUUGACAAUCCUUCAUUGAAGCUCCAGCUAGGAAGGAAGAAUUCUGUCUUCCAAUUCAAGUUGCUAGCAUUUACUUCCUCUAUUUUGGAGCUCUGUCAUUAGGUGCACAUAUGUUAAUAAUCACAAUGGCCCCUUUAUCAUUUAAUGUAUUUCCUUGUGUUUAAAAAAAUUCCUCUCUCUCUCUCUCUCUCUCUCUCUCUCUCUCUCUCUCUCUGUGUGUGUGUGUGUGUGUGAGAGAGAGAGAGAGAGAGAACAUUUGCCAUACUGUGGAUGUGUGCAUGUGCAGUUCAAAGGACCUGGGGAUUGAGUUUGGAUGGCCAGCCUUGGAGGCAGGCAUCUCCCCACUGAGCCAUCUUCAUUUCUGAUAUCAGCACAUGCGUUCUAUCUCCCUUAGACUACUUUUGCACACAGAAUCUUUCUCUACCCUUUUACUUUCACCCUAUUUCUGUCUAUUCAUUUAAGAUGAAUCUCUUAUAUACAGUAUAUAGUCAGGUCAUUUAAAAAGCCCAUUCUCCCAAUCUUCUACCAUUUAAUUGGAUAGUUUAACCCACUUACAUUUAAUGUAAUUAUUAUUAAGGAAUAAUUUACUUUUAUAAUUUUACUCCAUUACUGUCUUAUUUUUAUUACAUAAACCAUCUUCAUUUCUUUGUCAUUUAUCUCACUGUACAUUUUAAAGUUAUUUUUAUAGUAUUUUCCCUGGGGAUUACAAUUAAAGUAUAAUUUAUAACAUUC